AUUUGACCACGUUCUUUCACACCUAUGCCUCGUGUGUUGGACCUAAGCUUGCAACAUGGAUUCGACAAGGAGAGAAGCUGCUUUUGAGGCUUUUAAAGCCGAGUUUGUACGAAAUGUUUAAGUUAAGUCGAUCAGCCUGCGGUUUGAUCAUCUUUCCCCCAAAUGUAAGCUUUUAAUCUGACUAUGAUCUUUGUAAAACAAUUCAGUUACKAUGUCCCAAAACCACUGAUAGAUCUGUUGGAAAGUUUUAAACUGAAACCAAAAGAGACAGACGAACAGGGCAGAUCACGAAUUUAUCGCCGACUUUGGGCGAUUUUAUGGUUUGGAAGUGGACAAAAGCUCGGAGAUACCAAACGUGGUGCACCAACGUAUGUUUAACCCUCCAUCCCUAAAGAGAAUCAUAAGGGAAACCUUUCCUGGGGAGAUACAUGACAAGCCUGAUGCAGACCACCAAAAUGUAUACAAAGUAAACCUUGGCGACCUUGCAAGAGCAAAGUGGCCUGUUUCAAAAAAAAGUAGACUCAUUUAUUAUAACACUAUCGUAAACAUUUUAGACAACUUUUGUUACUAGAGUGAAUUGUUCUUUUGCUUGCUGAAAGCUGUAACACAUAGUAGUUUUAUCCCCAGGUACUGUGAAAAUAACUAAAUAUCGUCUUUCAUUUCUAAGACCGCAAGAUUUACUUUAUUGAAGAAACAUUUGAUCAAAAAUAUAGUUAUUAAUGAAUACAGUUAUAAUGUACCUGCUGUUACUACAGAGUUUCAACUUUCUUUAUUCUAAAUAGCUCAAAUGGAUGCAUAUUCAYUCAAACUUGAU